CUGCAGCCAAUUAAGCUGACCAGGUGUGUGCAAUGACUGCAAACAGCAGCCUCCUUGGUUAGUGUAUGCAACCUGUUGCAUGUUUGGGUUGCCCAAAGGAACCUUGGAGACAGUU
rnacentral:snoRNA from 1 species